GUACCUCCGAGAGGCUCGGCGUUGAGCCCGGGUAGGGCCAGGUGGCUGCCCUUUCACCUAGGGUAGACCCUGGCCGCCUCCGCUCUUCGCCCGAAAGGGAAUGCAGCUCUGGGAAAGUAAGGCCGCCGCGGUUGCGGCUAUAUUAUGUAUAUGUCUUAGAGACGCGAGUUUAUCUCUGCCUUCAAGCUUUCCUGGGCUCUCGUCGCUCCUCCUCCCGACCCGCCCAUCCCAUCUGGGGAUGAGAAGAUUGAGGGUGCAGAGCCCUGUCCUGCAGCGGGGAUUUGCGAGCUCAACCCGGCACCCCACUGAUUACAGGAUUACAUUGGACGAAUAUUUGAGCUUAGUAUUCCCUGUUCACUGUGUGGGGUGGUGGUGGGUCGGCUAGGAAUAGUCUUGAAGGUCUACCUCUGACAUCUCAUUUCAGGAACCUGGCAUCUUCAGGGACAGUUAUCUGCUUUUUAAAGGAGAACUGCAACUGUAAUUUCAAAUAAGGAAAACUUUAAUUUUCAGUAUAAAAAUUGCUCAAAUAGAAUUGCCUAAUUUUAAUGACAAAAGGUGAAUUAUAGUUUAA
rnacentral:sRNA from 1 species